AAGCCUGUAUACAGAAAAUUAAACAAAACACCACAGUCAGUUCUGUGUACUUUCCAUCACACUCAUUCAUUUGUUCCCUCUAUGACACGGUUUCCAUUCUGUUCUUCCGUUGAUAUAUGUCUCCGCGUUGAUCUCCUCCUCCUCUUCCAUUUCUCCUUCUGAGAAAUGUUGCCUCCAUGUAUCCCCAGGCUGUUCUUGAGCUCACAACAGCCUUCCUGCCUCAGCCUCCCAGGGGGUUCAAAAGAAAGAAAAGGAAGAAAAAGAAACCAAAUCACCGAACAGGCAGAACAUCUCUAAGGGGUUUGUUAUGGGGAGUCAGUUUAUGCAACUACGGAGGCUAAGAAGUCCCAUAAUUUGCCAUCUGCAAACUAGAGACCCAGGACAGCCAGUGUUUGACUUCAACACAAACCCAAAGGCUGGAACACUAAAGGCAUCAAUUAUGGUCUGCGUGCUGAGAAGAGCUAUCCAACUAUAAAAUUGGCAAAUGUUUCCCCUUGGGCAAGAUAAAUGAGUUUGCUCUGCUAUGAACUCAUCAGAUGACAAGAAUAGAGAGUUCAAGUCCACACGAAGAGUCACACAGUAAUCAAACACUUUGACACACAACCCAUCUCAACUGUGACGUUCAUCACGUCUGUAACCACAGCUCAGCCCAUUGCCUUGGAGCACACAGAGGACGGUCGCAGGAGAUUCUGCACACAGAAGCUGGGGGUCCCUAAGCCGUGUUCCGGUCCCCUGUACUCACCACCACCACAAAGCAGUGACAAAGAGCAGAGGGUAAGCUAUGGUGGAGGAUUUGAGGGAUGCGAUGGUUUGAAUUAUGAUCCCCCACCCCACCCCCUCAAAAAAACCAGUAUGUUUCUGAGCUGUGAUC